UUGAGUGAAGAAAGAGAAAGAGUUGAUCUCUCGCCCCCACUUGCGAACCUCCAUGGCCUUCCUCUCUAUCAAGAUUCUCGGCGAAGAAGAGUUCAAGAAGACUUGUGCUUUAUCCUACUGGCUAUGGUUGGAGACGAGCUGCUCUCAGGUAGUCAGAGGGAAGAAAGAGAAAGACUUGAUCUCUCGUCUCCACCUGCGAACCUCCUUGGCCUUCCUUUAAUAUUUAUAGCUUUUACAAUUAGAAGUUUGUUGAAAUCGUGCUAAGAUAAACCUCGAGCCAACUCUAAGCCCGUAACUGACGCGGCCAGUGAGAGAAUCUCAGAAUCGGCCUUUUUUUUAUUAUUAUUUGCUAACUAAAGUCAUAAAAAUCAGGAUGCAACUUGGAUUAACUAAUCAUAGAAAUUAGUGUUAGAUGCCUCACGAUAGAGAUUUUGAUGGUUUUGGGUUACCCAAAUCUCAACUUAAAACUAGCCCAACUUAACAUUGGGUUUACUUUUUUAAAUCCAUGCUACAAAAGACGGGGGAUUUAGCACUAGCUGAAACCGCUGGAAAAAAAGUACCAAAAGCUAUUAGGAAAAUU
rnacentral:lncRNA from 1 species